rnacentral:misc_RNA from 1 species
GAUCAAAAGCAUUUCAACAAUUUAUCUAGGGUUCAUUACAAGCAAACUGGAAAAGAACGAAAAUCCCCAUCCCUCUGUAUCUCCCCUGUAUUUAUAAGACAUAUAUAGAGCAUAAGACCCAGCAGAUGCUUGACAAUUCCAAGAUAAUGGAUCAGUUCGACACCAAAGAAAACUGAAGGAGGAGCGAAUAGCAGGGAACAUGCAUGUUUGUCACACAAUCAAAAUCCACCAAGUUCUAUACAAUGAUGAUACAUAUAAUAUGUAUUAUUAUUGACGAGAAACAGAACUAGGGUACAAAACCAAUAUCCUUGAAGUAUUCAUGCUCAAGAGCACUCCUAGCUGUAAUUCUCUUGCUGGGAUCCAAGCAGAGCAUUUUAGU